CCCAGUAAACGGCGGCCGUAACUAUAACGGUCCUAAGGUAGCGAAAUUCCUUGUCGGGUAAGUUCCGACCCGCACGAAAGGCGUAACGAUUUGGGCACUGUCUCAACGAGAGACUCGGUGAAAUCAUAGUACCUGUGAAGAUGCAGGUUACCCGCGACAGGACGGAAAGACCCCGUGGAGCUUUACUGUAGCCUGAUAUUGAAAUUCGGCACAGCUUGUACAGGAUAGGUAGGAGCCUUUGAAACGUGAGCGCUAGCUUACGUGGAGGCGUUGGUGGGAUACUACCCUAGCUGUGUUGGCUUUCUAACCCGCACCACUUAUCGUGGUGGGAGACAGUGUCAGGCGGGCAGUUUGACUGGGGCGGUCGCCUCCUAAAAGGUAACGGAGGCGCUCAAAGGUUCCCUCAGAAUGGUUGGAAAUCAUUCAUAGAGUGUAAAGGCAUAAGGGAGCUUGACUGCGAGACCUACAAGUCGAGCAGGGUCGAAAGACGGACUUAGUGAUCCGGUGGUUCCGCAUGGAAGGGCCAUCGCUCAACGGAUAAAAGCUACCCUGGGGAUAACAGGCUUAUCUCCCCCAAGAGUCCACAUCGACGGGGAGGUUUGGCACCUCGAUGUCGGCUCGUCGCAUCCUGGGGCUGUAGUCGGUCCCAAGGGUUGGGCUGUUCGCCCAUUAAAGCGGUACGCGAGCUGGGUUCAGAACGUCGUGAGACAGUUCGGUCCCUAUCCGUCGUGGGCGUAGGAAAUUUGAGAGGAGCUGUCCUUAGUACGAGAGGACCGGGAUGGACAUACCUCUGGUGUACCAGUUGUCGUGCCAACGGCAUAGCUGGGUAGCUAUGUAUGGACGGGAUAAGUGCUGAAAGCAUCUAAGCAUGAAGCCCCCCUCAAGAUGAGAUUUCCCAACUUCGGUUAUAAGAUCCCUCGAAGAUGACGAGGUUAAUAGGUUCGAGGUGGAAGCGUGGUGACACGUGGAGCUGACGAAUACUAAUCGAUCGAAGACUUAAUCAA
rnacentral:rRNA from 1 species